GCCCAGGCGUCCCGCGAUGUUUUCUGAGCUGAUCCUCGCCUGACUCUUGCCAGUUCAAGGGGUGCAGAGGGCACUAACAGGAGAUAGCUCGAGUAAACACAGCCCGCUCCUAACUGUCAGGUAACAGGCAGCGGCUGAACCGUCUGUCAACACAAGAGCAUGAUUACCUUAAGGACUAUGGGAGAACAACCUCAGGUACUUAGUGCUAAUUGACUGGAAAGGUAGGAGGAAAGAAAAAGAAUGAAGACUAAAGAACAAAUGUUUGCAAAGUUACUGUGCUGGAAUUCUGUGAUAAUCCAGAUAAUCACGUGUGGAAGAAGUGUGGAACAUAAAUUGUCUACGCUGAGCAAGAUUGUGAGUUGUGGUGGCGGGACAUACAAGGCAUGUACCACCAGCCAGCCAGUAAUGGAGAUCUCAGUGAAGGCGCUGUUUGAAAAACUUCUGCUGUGGUAUGAGUCACCUACAUCACUGAGUGCUGCAACUCCAACCUGAAAAGCUAACGGUCCUGUUCCCAUCAUUUGCUUUAGACAUACAACUUUUAGCACUUUAAAGUAGGAAGCAGGUCGCUCCCUAUGCUGGGAUUCACCCAGAAGGUGAUCUGGAGUGCCACAUCGGGUGCUGUCUAAGUCGUCUUCUACAGAGGUCUCUCUUGUCCUUGCCAGUGAGUAG